ACAUACAUACAUACGUACGUACAUGCCGCUGUGACACCCGGGAUCAGGUGUGUGGACUCAUGUGUCCGAGUGAGGACUUGUUGAGGAGACGGUGAGGCGGCGGGUGGAGGUGGACGUGCCUGGUGGAUGCUGAGGAGCCGUCUCAUCAUCAUCCCAUCCAUCCUCCCAGAACAAAUAAAUGAGUCAACAUGGCCGCGGAGCAGCUCGUCCUGUAGCACCGACGAGACAGCGAAUUUAACAUCACUCAGCUUUUCAGAUCAAAUGGCGUUCAUGUCCCGGUUCUCUCGGUCCCGGAGCAGCUCCAGGUCUCCGAACCGAAAAGAGACCGAGCGCGUCUCCCCACACCUGACGGUCUCCGAGCUGGAGAGGCUCCUGUGUACGGGCAAAACCGCCUGUAACCAUGCGGACGAGGUGUGGCCACGACUCUACAUCGGAGAUCAAGAUAUUGCGUCAGACCGCCGUGAGCUGGCCAAACUCGGCAUCACACACAUCCUCAACUGUGCCCAGAGCAAGUGGCGCGGUGGAGCCGAGUACUACGCCGGGAUGAACAUCACCUACCACGGCAUCGAGGCUCACGACUCCCCGACGUUUGACAUGAGCGUCAACUUCUAUCCUGCAGCUGAGUUCAUCCACAAAGCCCUGACAAGCGGAGGUAAGGUGCUGGUGCACUGCACUGUGGGAGUGAGCCGAUCAGCCACUCUGGUGCUGGCCUACCUGAUGAUCCGACAAAACCUGACGCUGGUGGAGGCCAUCAAAACGGUCAAGGACCACCGAGGCGUCACCCCUAACCGGGGUUUCCUCCGCCAACUCAACGGCCUGGACGGCAUCCUGAGAGAGAGUCGUAAGACGCCGCAGCAGAGCUGAAAACUUCCCGACCCUCAGAGGCAGCAGCCAGUCUGGUUACAGGGAGGUAACGGGACCAAGUUAGGACAAGCUGUCUGACUCUGUAGCAGCAGGUUUUCUGGACACCUCUCAUGCUCUGCAGGAAUCCUUAACAGGUCUUCAAGUCUCAUUUCUGCUGCAUUUCUUUGACAGGAAAUUUCUAGAAAUGACCUGAUAAAGGUCUGAAGACCAACAAACAAAAUAAGAUUUUAGGACCAAGAUGUAAAUAAUUGCUAACAGUAUUGCCACUGCCCUCUCGUGUCUCCGGUAAAAUCACAAACGCAGUGAGAGAUUAUCUGCAGUGUUCCUGUCAGCCAGCCUGGAUGCUCACAGUUGGGAUUCAAGGGGCUGAUUUUGCAAGGAACCCUGAAACGACCACACGUGUCCCUGAGCACACGUGGGCCGUCGUGUCUUUUGUAGUCAAAACUGAGGUAAGAUCUGCGACGAAUAUCGGCCAUCUCGCUCCCCGUAGUUUGCAGGUCUUCCCUCGACUUACUUUUUUACAUUCAGCAAGUGUCAUUAAGUGCUCUGAACAACUCACACACUAGUUGUAGCCCAGGUCUAAACCAGCACAGUUAUGUAGCCCGUCGAUUACAGUACUACAGUGUUGUACACAAUUAUUAUCUGUGACGAGUUUGUGAAUAGCAACAUACAAUACACAGCGUGAGUCCUGUUUUAAAUCCAGUGUUGAAUAAGUUCAGUGUCCAGUCCGGUGUAUUUCAAAUAUCCACGGUCCUUCUUCACUCCUUUGUGUUAGAUAUGUUGUGCGUGAUGAUCUGACAUUCAUCUCGUAGAUCAAGCAGUACUGAAGCCCGUUCGGACAGGAUUAUCAUCACGGGGGAGGUGAGGGAUGAAGUAUUCGCCAUGCCCCUCAGAAGUCAUAGCUCAGUCAAAUGUGAACACACAAUCACAAAUUACAUAUUUUUAGAUUCGGGGUGAAUUGCGCUUCAAUUAUCACAUUUUCGAGUUUUCUUCAGUACCAGAGUAAUUCAGUGCGAGUGGUCUGUUCACCCAUGGCUACACCACAAACAACAACUAAUUCGACCUAAAUUUACACAGUUUGACCAGAUGUAAACAUAUAUAGGCUAAAACGAAUCAUUUCUCCAAGGAGCGUUUCAGCACCUCGCUGCAGCUCAUCCACUUCAGAAUACCAAGACGUUGCUCCAGGCAGGAUUUAAAUUACUCAUGAGGAGCAGCCGCUUCACACAGCAACUACAGGUGACUGCAGAGGUGAUUAUUACUGGGGUGAAGGUGAAAAAUGAUCCACAAAUGUGUCAAAGUCACCCCCACAGCCCCAAGAGAAAUAAAUCCAGUCCGAAUGGUGCUUUAGACUCAGCAUGGUACAUCGUACGUAACGUGGCUAUGAAACAACCUCCAGUGUGGUGUGUCGCGUCAGCUUCACAGUGACUGUUAGCUGUCUAGAGUAGGACUCUAAGUGAUAAUUUAAUAUGCCAGCACAAAAAGCAUUUAGAGUAGACAAGCAGUGGGAGAUAAUACCACAAAUGUGCCAUUGCAAAAGCUACCAACUGCCCGGGCGACAGGAGAGCGCACCGCUCUUUGGUCCAGGUGUUCAGUGAGGCUCGUGUUCUCACGCUUGUGAAGAACAAAACGUGAUCCAAUGCUGAAGUUUAAGACUCUUUACAGAUACCUGUGUGUGUGUGUGUGUGUGUGUGUUAUUACCUUUACUGUUACAGUAUCACAUGUUUUUUUGUGACUCGUGGUCUUCGUCUGUGCCGUUUCAAUGCCACCAUGAUGACGUGUGGCUGAAGAGACAGAAGAGAUGAG